rnacentral:rRNA from 1 species
GUAGGUGGCAAGCGUUGUCCGGAAUUAUUGGGCGUAAAGCGCGCGCAGGCGGUUCUUUAAGUCUGAUGUGAAAGCCCACGGCUCAACCGUGGAGGGUCAUUGGAAACUGGAGAACUUGAGUACAGAAGAGGAAAGCGGAAUUCCACGUGUAGCGGUGAAAUGCGUAGAGAUGUGGAGGAACACCAGUGGCGAAGGCGGCUUUCUGGUCUGUAACUGACGCUGAGGCGCGAAAGCGUGGGGAGCAAACAGGGAUUAGAUACCCUGGUAGUCCACGCCGUAAACGAUGAGUGCUAAGUGUUAGGGGGUUUCCGCCCCCUUAGUGCUGCAGCUAACGCAUUAAGCACUCCGCCGGGGGAGUACGGCCGCAAGGCUG